ACGUAGGUUGCAAGCGUUGUCCGGAUUUAUUGGGCGUAAAGCGAGCGCAGGCGGUUCGUUAAGUCUGAUGUGAAAGCCCCCGGCUCAACCUGGGAGGGUCAUUGGAAACUGGAGAACUUGAGUGCAGUAGAGGAGACUGGAAUUCCACGUGUAGCGGUGAAAUGCGUAGAUAUGUGGAGGAACACCAGUGGCGAAGGCGACUCUCUGGGCUGUAACUGACGCUGAGGGUCGAAAGCGAGGGGAGCAAACAGGAUUAGAUACCCUGGUAGUCCACGCCGUAAACGAUGA
rnacentral:rRNA from 1 species